rnacentral:lncRNA from 1 species
CAUAUAGUUCUGUACUCAUCUCAGUGCUGCAACUUCCUCUAUAUUAAUUGUGUUGACUUUGUCAUCAACCUUGUUCUGUCACUAAUUUGUUGACUUUUUCUAGCCAUAUGUUAGUGCACAUUUGUAUAUUCCAACUCCUAACUGGCUCCAGUACUCCAGUGGGCAGUGUUUCUGCUUGAAUAUGGAUUGGUAUGAAUGUGGAAAUUGUGUAUAUUUGGUUCUAUUGUGUAGCUG